AAAAGGGUGAGUUGGCAAUGCCAUUGUAAAAUCAAAUAAUUUGAUAGUUCAUUUAUAUCUUAUCCUUAACCAAUGCUUUAAAGUUCGUCCUAUGUACCAUCAGGUUUAGGAUUUAAGAAUGGCGGGUUUAUUAGAAAAAAUAAAAGACCUCUACCCAGACCAGGCAAGAGCAAUUGAAAAAGAAGAUUUCCGCAGUGACGACGACAUCCGGACAUUGACCAGAGAGGAUCUAGAUGAACUGCUUGGCCCUAAGAACCUCAAGCAGAGAAAGGCCGUUUAUGAACUGAUACACCAGCAGAAGCCAAUUGGGGAUCUUUUAAAAGACUUAAAAGCUUUUAUCCCUGCAGAAUCUAUGGAAGCUGCCCUGACAGAGAAUGGGGUCUUGAGUGGCUACCUGCAGAUCAUGAAGGACUUGACGUCCCAAGUAGGAAAGGUCCAAUCAUUUUUGCAGGCACAUGUGAGCCUGCUGGAGGAACACAGUUAUGAUUAUAAGGCGGUGAAAGGUAUCGUCAUCCUAUCUAUUGUGAAAUAUAAAAUAGCAUAACAGAAAAAUCAUUAUAAACCAUCUCCUUUUCCUGGCAUAUGUGUUUCUUGAGAGCCAGAACACAAUUUAUCUAUUAUUUCGCUCAAACAAAAGCAAGGAAUCUUCAAAAUCAUGUGCAUAAAUAUGCGCUUUGUUGACUCAACAGUGCCACGCACAGGAAGUAAUGCGCAACAAGUUAGCAAUCUACCUCCAACACCAACAGGUAUGUGUGGAAUUAUUGCUUAGAAAUCAUAUUUUUGUCCCAUGACCAUCCAGUUAAAAUUGCGUAGACAUUCGUCAGCUAUAUUAGUGUGAAAAAAUCUGUUUUGAAUUCACUGCAGCUGUCUCUGUAUGAGCCUAUUUAGAUGUCCUGUAACAUAUUGGUGCUCAUCUAACCCUUUGUUAAACUUAUCUGCUAGGUAAAAGUUCAUCACCUGGAUUCUGGAAUUUUUUUGGUAAAUAUAGCUCAACUAAUGUUAUGCUCAUUCGCAGUCACUCAAAUAUCCUUGAUUUUCUUUUUUUUCUUUCAGCUAAAGGUGCGAUUUGAGAGUUGUAAAGAGUGGAAGAGAGACAGAUUUUGAAACUAAACACUUUCAAACGCAACAAUGUCUGCCUAUAAUGAAAAUUAUUUCACGAUUACCUACUAAACCAUCGCAACCAACCCAUAACUUUCUUUCCAAUGCUCCUACGCUUCCAAAAUGGAGGCGGUUAUUGUGAGGUUACUUUGCAAUUUACAUAUUUUGUGUUUUCUUUGUUCAUUUGUUUGCUGUAUUUAUUUGCUCCCAAGGUUACGGGCAUGCUAAGGAAGUCCCCAUUUCAAGCUCUCCAGAGAGCGGUCAAAAAAGAUGGCUUUGACCUUAGAUCAGAUACUGACCCAGAUCCUUAUCCCAGCAACGUGGACCCAGAUGAGCCACUAGGAGCCCACAAAGCACAGCCUGUAGCAGAGGUUUCAUCCUCUGUUGCAACACAGCAGAUAAGUAUGACUGAAAGUAAGUACUCAACAGAAUAUUGCGUACACAUAGACAAAUAUAAGCAAUCACAAGGACCAACAUCAAUGUAAAGUUUUGGCGACCUGGAGAUUUUGUUGCACCACAGCAUAAAAUCUAUGAAGAACGGACCAUACAAAAAAACAACAAAUUACACCGUAAUUAAGUUAAUUAUUUUUCUAUAAAUAGUUUUAAUUUCCUGCUUAUUUUUCAGAACUCCAUACUGUAACAUUCCAGUCUAUUGUAAGCGGCAAAACAUUAAACUGCGAAAAUACCAUAUUGGAACAAUUGAGGAACAGGGGAAAAGUGAUUCUUACAGAGACAGAAGACAGCCCCCAGCUCAUUAUUGUGUUCUGUCCAAUCACGUCACGGAUUGACUCAGACUUGGAGAGUGUCAUGAAUAAACAUCCAGGUAAUGGCCAUGGUUUAAUUUUCCUUCAGACACAUUGAAGUGCAACAUGUCCGCUAAUGAUUGGCAAUCAGUGUGAUUUUUAUUGUUAUGUAGUGCUUGUCCAGGCCCUGUCACUAAAAUAUCCUCUCCCCUUCUUCUCUUUGUAGAGUCAUUGGUUGACAAACCUGUUAUUUUGGUGAUGAUGCAUCACAGAUACAAUCCCAACGAAGUAGUCAUCCAGAAGCCAGGGUCAGUCCUCAAGAAAUGGAACAUUGCGUUGGUUGUCAACGUUUUCUACCAAGAAACCGUGCAUGGAUUGGUGCCCUGCGUCAUGAACAACCAGGCGCUCGAUGAAAUGCACACCACAUUAAUGAAACACUGUGAAAAAAGCAUCUGUGAAUGUGUCGACGAUAGCGACAUUGCAAUGUCGGACCCCUGCUGUCAUAAUAGCAGUGCUUCCGAAUCGUUGGUUCAAUCAGGAAAUGACAAUAUGGCUUUGCUUGCUCAUGAAUGCAACACUGGUACUAGUAGUAAUGUCAUCUCCCAAAGGACUAGCAGUACAAGUAGUCAUGACCACUGGAGUGGUAGGCGUCCUUGUGUGGAUGCACGUCCCAUUGGAAGCCGUGGCAUAGCUCAUCAUGAUGACACACACGCUUUUCAAGGCCACCCAAAAAGUAUGGGUGAUUAUGUCGCUUCAAGUCACAGCAGGUUGAGGGGUGAUAAUGACACACACGCUUCUGAUUUUCAAUGCAAACAAGCAGGUAAUGUUGGUAAUGCCAGAACACGUGAUAGUAGAAACAGUGGGACGGAUGGUGAUGACCACACUGGUAAGGUAGAUAAAGGAGCUUCCAAGAAAAAUUAUUUUAAGUGGUAGUGAUGGACAUUGUUCAUCUAUGUGCUGCCAGUGCUAGUAAAGCCAUUUUUUAUUUCAUUUCUCAAUCAGGAAUAUUAUCUUGUGUGAAACAAUGGCGUCAUGUGUUCAUGAAGGGAAUAGUGGGUUAAUAUAUUUGAAUUGGAUCAAAGGGUAGGCUAUCUUUUUAAUGAUUAUAUUCGUAUAAUAAAGCACUGUUACAAGAGUGCUUCAUAGAUAUACUUUAUUGGGCAUUGUUUUUUGGAUGAAAAAAGUAGGCUAAUGCAUCACUUCUAAUGCAUCAGCUUCCUUCAAGCUAAAUCAUUAAAAUAUGUUCAAUAUGCUUCUGUAACAAAGCAAUAUAAAUAUGUAAAAUAUGCAAAGUCCACAGAUGUUUUUUCAAUGAUGUAUUUCAAAUAAAGUCAAUGGAUUAAUCCCAUUCAAUACAUCAGGAAUGUUUUUGAUGUCACGAUGUACAAGCCCUACGGACGGGCCUCUCGCUCUCGACCCUCUUUGCCGAACUCCCCCAAAGCAUGGCCCUGGCUGCGUUGUUUACAAACGGUAGCAGUUCCCGGAAGUUAAAGGAGCACAUGCUAGUAGCUAGUGCAUGUGAGUAUAUGUCCUUGUUUGAAUAAAGAAAUAAUACUUUAGCCAUCUCUUAACUAAUAUCGAAGUAUAUAACCAUCUCUAACCAAUCACCUACGCAUCGCGUCAUGAGCCAAUUACCAUAGCGUUUUUCUCGUCAGAGUAGGCAGAUCGUACCAGAAAUGCAUUGCGACUGUAAUGACGAGAUAUUGAGGUCUUCUCUCAGCCUACUUCCUUAUGUGCAGGCGGGAGCUAUAUAUUCGGCAGUUUGGAUUGGGCGGAUUCUGUCAAUCCCUGCAUUGACCAAUUAAAAUGCGUCUUUCACUUUCUAUUUUGCAUUGGACAAAAGGGUGAAUUGGCCAUGCCAUUGUAAAAUCAAAUUAUUUGAUAGUUCAUCUAUAUCUUAUAUUUAACCAAUACUUUAAAGUUUGUCAUAUUUCCCAUUAGGUUUAGGGUUUAAGAAUGGCGGGUUUAUUAAAAGAAAUAAAAGAUCUCUACCCAGACGUGGCAAGAGAACUCGAAAAAGCAGAGUUCCGCAGCGACGACGAAAUCCGGACAUUGACCAGAGAGGAUCUCCAUGAACUGCUUCGUGGCCCUAAGAAGCUCAAGCAGAGAAAGGCCGUUUAUGAACUGAUACACCAGCAGAAGCCAAUUGGGGAUCUUUUAAAAGACUUAAAAGAUGUUAUCCCUGCAGAAUCUUUGAAAGCUGCCCUGACAGAGAAUGGGGUCUUGAGUGGCUACCUGCAGAUCAUGAAGGACUUGACGUCCCAAGUAGGAAAGGUCCAAUCCUUUUUGCAGGAACAUGUGAGCCUGCUGGAGGAACACAGCUAUAAGGCGGCGAAAGUGCCACGCACAGGAAGUAAGGCGCAAAAAGGUAGCAAUUUACCUCCAACACCAACAGGAAGCAAUGUGCAAAAAGGUAGCAAUAGACCUCCAACACAAACGGGAAUGGGUGGAGCUAAGGUAGUCCCCAGUUCAAGCUCUCCAGAGAGCGGUCAAAGAGAUGGCUCUGACCUUAGAUCAGAUACUGACCCAGAUCCUCAUCCCAGCAACGUUGACCCAGAUGAGCCACUAGGAGCCCACAAAGCACAGCCUGUAGCAGAGGUUUCAUCCUCUGUUUCCACAGAGCAAAUGAGAAAGACUGAAAAACUCCCUACUCUAAAAUUCUUGUCUAUUGUAUCUGGCGAUACGUUUAACCAUGAAAAUAUCAUAUUGGACCGGUUGAGGAGCCGGGGAAAAAUGAUUCUGGUGAACACAGAGGACAGCCCCAAGCUCAUUAUUGUGUUCUGCUCAAUCCAGUCAGAGUUUGACUCAGACUGCCUCGCUAUCAGAUUGAAUUGCCCAGAGUCAUUGUUUGACACACCUGUCAUUUUGGUUAUGAUGCAUCACACAAUGAAACACAACAAAGGACUCAUCCAGAAGCCAGGGCCAUCCCUCAAGAAAUGGAACAUUGUGUUGGUUGUCAACAUUUUCUACCACGUAACCUUGUGUGGGUUGCUACUCGGCGACAUGAACGACCAGGCGGUCAAUCAAAUGCACACGUUAUUACUGAAAUACUGUGGAAAAAGCAUCUGCGACAAGUGUCAACGAUAGAGACAUUGCAAUGUCGGACCCCUGCGGUCAUAAUAGCAGCGCUUCCGAAUCGUUGGUUAGAUCAGGAAAUGACAAUAUGGCUUUCCUUGCUCAUGAAUGCAACACUGGUACUAGUAGUAAUGUCUUCUCCCAAAGGACUAGUAGUAGCAGUAGUUAUGGUAGUCAUGACAACUGGGAUGCUAGGGUUCCUAGUGUGGAUACACGUCCCAGUGGAAGCCAAGGCAACCCAAAAGGUAUGGUUGAUAAUGUCGCUACAAGUCACAGCAGUUUGAGGGGUAAUAAUAAUAAUAAUAAUAAUAAAUGAAAUUUAUAUAGCGCUUAAUAUGGUACUCUAAGACGCUUAAUGAUACACACUUCUGGUUUUCAUUGCAACCAAGUAGGUUAUGGUGGUAAUGCCAGAACACGUAUUAGUAGAAGCAGCGGGAUGGAUGGUAAUGACCACAGUGCUGGUAAGGUAGAUCAAGGAAGCAGAGCUGGUUUCAAGAACCCUCUCUAAGAGGAAAGGAAGGAAAUUGUUCAUCCAUGUGCUGCCAGUGCUAUAGUAUUGUUUUUAUUUUUUUAUUCCUCAAUCAGGAAUAUUAUGUUUUGUGUGAAACAAUGGCAUCAUGGGUUAAUGAAGGGAAUGGUGGGUUAAUAUAUUUGUAUUAGAUCAAAGGGUAGGCUUAUCUUUUUAAUGAUUAUAUUUGUACAAUAAAAGUACUGAUACAAGAAUGCUUCAAGCUAAAUCGUUCAAAAAAAUAUCGAAGCCUUCAAUUUACCAAUGCCAAUAACCAAUGCAAUGUAUGAUAAAGCCUUGAUUUACCAAAGCGUUCAAUAUGCUUCUGUGACUAUGCAAUAUAAAUAUUUAAAGUAAACACUCCGAAGUCAGAGUCCACAGACGUUUUUCCAAUGAAGUAUUUCAAAUAAAGGCAAUGGAUUAAUCCCAUUCAAUGCAUCAGGAAUGUUUUUGAGACCUGUCGCAUCAAAUUGUCCAAACUGUCACCAGUCUACUUAACUCUACACAAUGUAAGGUUACUUUUCAUCACGAGACUCUGUCUGGCAAUGAAUAAAGGACUUCGAUGUAAGGUAGUAAAAAUUAGAGGCACCAGAAAGUGACAGAAG
ensembl:lncRNA